AAGAAAAAAAAAAAAGUGAUAUGAAACCACAGAAUCAAUGCUAAUGUAUCACAUUCUGCUUCUGGCCUGAAUAUAUAAAAAUACAAAGAAAUUCUGUGUUAAAGCUGCAAAUUCCCUCCUUUACCAUGCUGUCUGAGUACUGCAGGGGGCUAGUGAAAAUGCAGCUCCAUGCUUGGGUAUUAACUGCCUUGCACAUGGGUGCAAAAAUCAUUACUGAUACCUAAGGAUAUUUUGUAUUCUGUAGUACAUGCUCCGUGAUUCUAUGGCAAAGGUGUUGAGAGGUACUUGAAGUGCACCUAGUUGGUUGUUUUCUUUGGCUCCAGUAAAAAGCCCCUCAUUUGCUUUUGAAAUGGACUAAAUUUGUUUCUUGAACAUGUCUGGCUCUGCAUUAAUAGCGAAAGGAUGCUCUGAAUAUCCCUUCCCUCCAGCUUCUCCAGGGGUAUUCAGAAUGGCAAAUAAGUAUUAAUAAGGAAGCUUAUUAGUAGUGCUACGAUAAUAAUAAUAAUAAAAGAAAUGAUGAGGUGACAAAAAAUGAGGCAAAGGACUGGAGAACUGAAAAGGAAAUGAAGCUGUGGUUUGGCUUCGUCUGCCUUUUCGUUUGAAAGAUGGUAAAUCUAAAGGACCAGCACAGAUGAAAACUGAGACCGAAUGUGGGUGAAGAAAGCAGUUUUAAAAUCUCUGCAAGCAGGGAUGAAACAGCUCCUGGAGAGGAAGGCACCACAGCAAACAGCUCCAUUGAACAAGAAAGAGAAAAGGAAGGGGCAAGGGCGCAGAUGAAAGGGAAGAUGAAACCUGGUGAGAAGGCGAGGGGACUGCCACACACACCAGGUAAAUGUGAUUUCUCAGUGCCUUCACCUCCCACAUGGCAAGGGCAAACAGCAGUGGUUUGAAGAAGACACCCAGCCCCUCUCUCUCUUUCUGUCUUCUCAAAAAUACACGUUUUGACAUGGAUUAGUGGGCACAGUGAGGAUGGGUUGAUGGUUGGACUUGAUCUUAGAGGUCUUUUCCAACCUUAAUGAUACUAUGAUUCUAUGUUUGUUCACUUUUCCGCUGCCUAUUCCACUACUUUUGCUGGUUGGUCUUCCCAUCUACCCUCAGCACAGCUCACAUGCAACUUCUAGAAAAUAAGGCUUUUAUAACCAACUUAUCUCUUUUUUUUCCAUCCUUUAAGAAACAUUCAUUUACAGAGAAGGGGAUGGUGAGCUUCAGCAGAUUCUGCUGCUGAAAUGCAUCCAUGCUCGUUCUCCCUCAUAUUCAGCUUCUGUAUUCAUGGCUAUUAAGACAAAAUAUAUCUGAGGUAUUUUUGCUGGUUCCAAUUUAUCUUCACGCACGGAGGUUAUACUUUUUCUUGACUUCCUCGACCCAUUCUAACAUUAACAAAUUGAGCAUUUAUAUGGGUUUCUUUCCAAACAUGAAGUUGAUUAGGAAUUUAGGAAACAUUGGUGAUUUAGAGAUUAACCUUUUUACAGAAUUACUGACAUAAACCAGAGCCUAUUACGCUAUUAGAAUCUACAUAAAAGAAAGCCAACUGAAAAGCAUAUUUAGAGCCACGUAAAAGACUUUCCAUCCACCAGUUUACUUCUUUUUUACAGCAGAGAAAUCUGAUGAAAGGAAAGGAGUGAGCGCAAUCCACCUCUAAAGUUAUCUAGAGGGAAGCAGGGCUAUAAAAAUAUUACAGAAACCAAGCAACAAUCUUCUGCUGGCAUGACAGAGCCUGUAAUCGGGUGGGUGGCUGUGAAGAGCCAAGCUGAAUGCUGCAGAGCACUGUAAUUUUAUUGCAGUGUGGCUGCUUUAAAGCAAACCCAUUUGCAAUGAAAUCUGUACUUCCGUGAGAACAUGGCAAUUGUUUUUGUUAUAAAGAUAACGUCACUUGUUGGCAUUCAGAAGCAAUUAUUCAGCCUUUAAGCCAAUUACUGCUCCAACUCACCCUUGCUGGUGUGACAGUUGGGUGAGAGAGGCAAAUGUAGCAGGCUGCGGUGGCUAAAGAACAGCAUCGUGUGUGCCUGUGCUUGGCAAACAGCACAUAAUAUGCUGCUAAGGCACUUCUUAUUUUAAACCAUUUUGCUGCUCUCGUGUUCUUCACAUCCUCACGCAGUAACUACAGCCAGAGAUGUCCUUCAGCAUGGGUGCUAUGGGAACCCGACCGAUCCCGUGCCGUGACUGAGCUAACAAUGCCUACACCCGAGAUUUCAAAGGUAAUAGAAUUUCACAGGCAGAGUGAAUCAAAAGUUGGUGGGAGGGACGCCCUGAAAAUCCCAAACUAAACUGCAAGAACAGCCCACAGCUGCAGAAUUCCAGAGAUUCGGAUUCCUUUAUCAGCUGCCAGCCUUGUGAAACGCAUCUGCAAUCAAACCUGUUUGCAAGCUGAGAGCAAAUCAUGCUCCUGGGAGUAAACCCAAACCUGCCUCUAACCCAAUGUCUCUGCUGACAAUUUGGCUUGCCAAGAGCAGUCCUACCCAAGCACUUCGGUGGACCAAAGGAGAUGCUAAGCUGGAUGAACAAAGAGGGGCUGCUGAGGAAUGAAAAGGAGCUGUGCUCUGAUUCUUGAAGAGAUAAUGCCAAACUGCUCAUUGGGACUACUUGUGUUUCUUUUUUAAUUUCCUCUCUUUCACAAAAAAUAAGACAGUAGAAAUCUGGUGCUUGGAGCAGAAAUGAACACUAUUUGGUUGCAUUCUCAGGGAACCUGCUAUGUCCUCAAGCUAAUAAUCUCUAUAUAAAGGUUGUGGUUCAUUGGAAAGGCAAGAAAUACCAUGGGAUUAUGUUUUUCUCUUGUAAAAUCUUUCUACCACUUAAGUUUUUCAACCUCUGCUUCAAACAUCAUCCUUAGGAGUGUUUGUUGUUGUUGUUGUUGUUUUUCUUCCCAAUAUAUAUUAAUUAGUAUAUGGGACAGACAGACAAAUUAAGUAACCCUUUCUACAAAUGAUUUGUGAAGAAAUUACCCAAGAACAUGUUUCUGAUUAAAGCUCACAACAGACCAAUCACACUUGUAAAUAAUUGAAUAAAUAAAUUAACACUGUAUGUUAUUGCACUGCUUUUUUAUGAGUUGUUCUGAAAUUACCAAUUAACCAUUGUAGGCUGUGCCUUUCUGUAUCUUACAGUGGCUUUUGGUGAAGACCAAAUUCUAGUUUAGAUGGAGCUCACAGCUGGCAUUUUCAUGUUAAUUUGAAUAUGUUGUUACUAAUUUGUUCAACUGAAACUAAGGAAUGACACAAUAAACAAGGCACAGUUUGACUUCUCACAUUUUAAAUUAAAAAACAAAAAAACAAAAAAACCAUUUCCAAUGUGUCUUAAUAAUUUUACCUAAUUAAAAAUAUAUAGAAAACAGAUUAUUCAAAUGAUCUGUACAUAGUAAAGUGAGCAAUUUGCUCUUCCAGCAUAAAAUGAAUUCAUUACUAUCCACAGUCAGAGCAAAUAUGAUGGUGUAUCCUUUAGUGAUGCAACUUCUGACACAAGUUGUAUUUUAAUAUUCACUGUCAAGACAGUUUCAAGGUUAAGAAUAUAAGGAAUUUUGCAGACAGUAAAAAAUAGACAAAAUGCAGUUGAAUACCACUACGAUGGGCAUAGGGUGGGAGUAAAAGCACACAGAGAAAUCUAAAGACAAUCUGCCAAAUGUGGGAAGA